GUGUCAGCCGCCGCGGUAAUACGGAGGGGGUUAGCGUUGUUCGGAAUGACUGGGCGUAAAGCGCGCGUAGGCGGGCUGGAAAGUCAGAGGUGAAAGCCCGGGGCUCAACCCCGGAAUGGCCUUUGAAACUCCCAGCCUUGAGUUCGAGAGAGGUGAGUGGAAUUCCGAGUGUAGAGGUGAAAUUCGUAGAUAUUCGGAGGAACACCAGUGGCGAAGGCGGCUCACUGGCUCGACACUGACGCUGAGGUGCGAAAGCGUGGGGAGCAAACAGGAUUAGAAACCCUAGUAGUCC
rnacentral:rRNA from 1 species